GGGAAGCUGGUCGGCCUUAUUGUCGGACUGAAAGCACACAUGUGAAGCUUGAUCAACUGUCACUCAUUCACUCACUCAUUCAACAUUACUUAUCGGGCACCUACUCUGUGCCAGGAACAGGUGAAAGCACAUGGCCCAUCAGCUGUAACACACAGCUCUAAGGUGAAGAACUGAAGGUCGGACUGAAUGCAAAUAUCUGCUAAAUCUGGGUGUCAGGUUUCCUAUAAUUUGGUAGCUGGAUCUAGACAGAGGUUUGAUCUGAGGUUUGAUAUGUUUUGGCAUUGCCUCACCAUCGGAAGGACUGUGCUUGAGACACUAAGGUAACACUCAAGGCCCGUUAGAAGGAAAAACAGAGCUUAGCCUGUGCUGAUGAAGAGGACAAGUAGCUCACAGCACCUAGCAACUGGGUCGUGUUUUCCCAGCUGCAGGAAUGUGGACCCUCGAGGUCACAGAACAGCAGCCGGUGCCCCAUAGAUAACUUCAGCUCUGUCUCUCACCCCAGCAAGUGUCGCUCGGGCAGCGUCUUCAUCCUGGUAGUUUCACUUCAACAUCUGUCUUGGAAAUCUCCCAGGCCCAAACUGUUUCUGUGAUUGACAUGAAACAAGAGCUUUCAUGGAGUCCUUCAGGCGCUUCUGAAGAGGCACAGGUGAGAGGCCUCUCCUGAGUCCCCUCUUUCCAUUGUCAUAUCCGCUCCGCUCCCUGCACUUCUGUCUAAAGCAAGGGGACCCUCCUUUUCAUUCAGCACUGAAA